rnacentral:rRNA from 1 species
UUUGCCUACGGGACGCAGCAGUGAGGAAUAUUGGUCAAUGGGCGCGAGCCUGAACCAGCCAAGUCGCGUGAGGGAGGACGGCCCUACGGGUUGUAAACCUCUUUUGCCGGGGAGCAACGGGCGUCACGUGUGGCGCCACUGAGAGUACCCGGAGAAAAAGCAUCGGCUAACUCCGUGCCAGCAGCCGCGGUAAUACGGAGGAUGCGAGCGUUAUCCGGAUUUAUUGGGUUUAAAGGGAUCGUAGAUGGGUUGUUAAGUCAGUUGUGAAAGUUUGCGGCUCAACCGUAAAAUUGCAAUUGAUACUG